rnacentral:lncRNA from 1 species
CUUAUCUGAUCGAACUAAAACUUAUUUUGCAUCUCCUGUCACAUGGUGAGGCCAAAAACAAUAUCCACAUCUAUGUAACAAACAAAAAACUGAUCAAAUAGAACAAAAGGGAACCAAUCACCAAACCAGAACCGCUUUUCCUUCAAAAAUGGUGAAGAACCACACAAAGAUCCAUCUGAAAUGGAAGUGCAUAAACAAUAAGCAAGGGGAAAGCCCAGGAAGAAGACAAUGACAGUAGAAAAAUAUUAUACUCCCUCUACAAUGCUUCACGUCCAACAACCAGACCAAGAUAGCCCCACCUUAAGCUCCGACUUUGGUAGAAUCAAAACUUAUUUUGUAUCUCCUGUCAAAGGGUGGGACCAAAAACAAUAUACACAUGUACGUAACAAACAAAAAAUAGAUUAAACAGAGCAAAAGGGAACCAAGCACCAAACCAGAACCGCCUUCCCACGAGAACUGGUUAAUUAGAACCCAAAGAUCAAACAUUUGAAGAUUAAAGAGCAUAACAAUAAGCAAAGGGAAAAAGUUCACCUAGAAGAUAAAUCACAAUAGAAAAAUAAUAUACUCCUGUUGACACCCACCAUAAACACUAUACCAAUGGCAGCAUCCAAGAUUGGUCCAUAUCCAAAUAACCAGACCAAGAUAGCCUCACCUUAAAUACCUAACUUUGAUGGAAUCAAAACCAAUUUUGUAUCUCCUGACACAGGGUGAGGCAGAAAACAAGGUCCAAGUCUACGUAACAAAAUAAAACUAUAAUAGAGAGCAAAGAUAACCAAGGAUCAAACCAGAACAGUCUUCCACAGAAGCCUGAUUAAGAAACACACAACGAUCCGGCAUCUGGAAAUUGAAAAGAAUAACGAUAAGCAAGGGAAAGUUUAGGUAGAAUAUAAAAUUUAGUAAAAAAGUUACAAUACUAUACUCCCUAUGCAACCCUUGAUAAACACUAUAUCAAUGACAGCGUCAAAGGUUGCUCCGUGUCCAACAAUCAGACCAAGAUUGCACCACCAUAAGCUCCUACUUUGAUAGAAUCAAAACUUAAUUUAUAUUUUGUGUCAUAGGGUGAUGCAGAAAACAAUAUCCACGCCAACGUAACAAACAAAAAACUGAUGAAAGAGAAAAAAGAUAACAAAGCAUCAAACCGAACAGCCUUCCAAUUAAGAACCACAACGAUCAGAAAUCUGAAAAUUGAAGAGUAUAACGACAAGCACCGGAAACUCUAGGUAGAAGAGAAAAUAUAGUAGAAGAAAAUGUAGUAUAACAAUCUGCAUCCCUCAAUAAACAUUAUAUCAAUUGACAUCUUAUAUUAGUCCGCAUCCAACAACCCCACCAAGUUGGCCCCCACCUUAAGCUCCCACUUUGAUAGAAUAAAACUGAAUUUGUAUCUCCUGUCACAGGGUGAGGGCGAAAAAAAUAUCAAAGUCUACGUAACAAAAAAAAAAAAACUAUAAUAGAGAACACAGACAACCAAGCGUCAAACAAGAACUGCCUUUCAGAGAAGCUUGAUUAAGAACAAAACAGCAACCAAAGAUUUGUCCAUGUCCAAAAACCAGACCAAGAUAGCCCCCACCUUAAGCUCCUACUUUGAUAGAAUCAAAACCUAUUUUGUAUCUCCUGUCACAGGGUGAGGCUGAAAACAACAUCCAAGUCUACAUAACAGCAAAAGAACUAUAAUUGAGAGAGCAAAGAUAACCAAUUAUCAAACCCGAACUGCCUUCCAGUUAAACUUGAUUAAGAACCACAUAAUGAACAGGCAUCUGGAAAUGGAAGAGAGACUAACAAUAACCACAGGAAAGUCUAGAUGGAAGAUAAAUUGUAGUAGAAAAAAAUACUAUAUUAUACUCCCUCUGCCAUCCUCGAUAAACACUAUAAUUGACAGCGUCAAAGGUUGAUCUGUGGCCAAUAUAACUAAACCAAGAUUAGCCCCACCUUGAGCUCCUACUUUGAUAAAAUCAAAACAAAAUUUUUAUCAUCUGCCAUAGGAUGAGGCAGAAAUACAAUAUACACGUAUACGUAACAAACAAAAAAACUGAUGAUAGAGAGAAAAGAUAAACCCAGCAUCAAACCAGAAGUGCCUUCAAGUAAAGAACACCUGGAAAUUGAAGAGUAUAACGAUAAGUAUAGGAAACUCAAGGUAAAAGAGAAAACGUAAAAAAAAAAAAAAUAACUAUACUGUACACCAUCUGCCACCCUCGACAAACACUAUAUCAAUGAUGGCAUCAUAGAUUAGUCCAUAUCCAAAAACCAGACCAAGAUAACCCCCACCUUAAGCUUCAACUUUGAUAGAAUCAAAACCUAUUUUGUCUCCUGGCACAGGGUGAGGACCAAAACAUUGUCCAAGUCUACAUAACAAAUAAACAAUAAUUACAGAGCAAAGGUGACCAAUUAGCAAACCAGAACAGCCUUCCCGUGAAGCUUGAUUAAAAACCACACAGCGAUCAGGCAUCUGGAAAUUGAUGAGAACAACGGUAAGCAUGGGAAAGUCUAGGUAGAAGAUAAAAGAUAGUAAAAAAAAAAAAAACUAUUCUAUACUCUCUUUGCCAGGCCCACACCACUAUAUCAAUGACAGCAUCAAAGGUAGAUCCGUGUUCAAUAACCAGGCCAACAUUAGCCACACCAUAAGCUCCUUCUUUCAAAACUUAAUUUUUAUCUCCUAUCAUAGGGUGAGGCAGAGAACAAUAUCCACGUCUACAUAACAACAAAAAAUUGUUGAAACUGACAAAAGAUAACCAAGAAAACAAGAAGUGCCAUCCAUUAUGGAAAUUGAAGAGUAUAACUAUAAACACGGGAAACUCUAGGUAGAAGAGAAAAUGUAGUAGAAAAAAAAAAUACUAUUAUGUAUUUCCUUUGCGACCCUCGAUUUACAAUAUACCAAUGAUAACAUCAAAGAUCUGUCCGCGUCCAAAAACCAGACCAAGAUAGCCCCCACAUUAAGCUCCUACAGUGAUGGAAUCAAAACCUAUUUUGUAUCUCCUGUCACAGGGUAGGCCCAAAACAAUAUCCAAGUCUAUAUAACAACAAAAGAAAUAUAAUAGAGAGAUCAAAUGCAACCAAUUAUGAACCCAGAACUGCCUUCCAGUUAAGCUUGAUUAAGAACCACACAACGAUCAGGCAUCUGGAAAUUGAAGAGAAUAACAAUAAGCACGGGAAAGUCAAGAUGGAAGAUAAAUUGUAGCAGAAUUAAUACAAUACUAUACUCCCUCUGACACCCUCGAUAAACAUUAUAUCAGUGACAGCAUCAAAAGUUGAUAUGUCUCCAAUAACUAGACCAAGAUUAGCCCCACCAUAAGCUGCUUCUUUCACAACUUAAUUUUUAACCCCUGUCACAAGGUGAGGCAGAAAACAAUAUCCACGUCUACGUAACAAAUAAAAGAUUGUUGAAACUGACAAAAGAUAACCAAGCAUACCAGAAGUGCCUUCCAGUUAAGAACCACACAACAAUCAGACAUCUGGAAAUUGAAGAGUAUAACUAUUAGCACGGGAAACUCUAGGUAGAAGAGAAAAUGUAGUAGAAAAAAAAUACUAUUAUGUACUCCAUGUACUCCCUUUACCACCCACAUUAAACUAUAUCAAUGACAGCAUGAAGGAUUUGUCAGUGUACCAAAAACCAGACCAAGACACGCCCCCACCUUAAGCUCCUACUUUGAUAGAAUCAGAACCUAUUUUGUAUCUCCUAUCACAGGGUGAGGCUGAAACCAACAUCGAGUCUAAAUAACAACAAAAGAACUACAAUAGAGAGAGCAAAGGUAACCAACUAUCAAACCCGAACUGCCGUCCAGUAAGCUUGAUUAAGAACCACACAACGAUCGGGCAUCUGGAAAUGGAAGAGAAUAACGAUAAGCACCGGAAGGUCUAGAUGGAAGAUAAAUUGUAUUAGAAGAAAUACUAUACUAACUCCCUCUGCCACCCUCGAAAAACAUAUCAUGACCAUCAAAGGAUUGAUUGUGUGCAAUAACUGACUAAGAUUAGCCCUACCUUAAGCCCUACUUUGAUAAAAUUAAAACUUAAUUUUUAUCUCAUGUCAUAGGGUGGGGCAGAAAACAAUAUCACGUCUAUGUACAAACAAAAAUUGUUGAAAUGACAAAAGAUAACCAAACAUCAAACCAGAAGUGUCAUCCAGUUAAGAACCACCCCACGAUCAGACAUCUGGAAAUUGAAGAGUAUAUCUAUAAGCACGGGAAACUCUAGGUAGAAGAGAAAAUGUAUAGAAAUAAAAAUACUAUUAUGUACUCCCUUUGCCACCCUCGAUUAACACAAUAUCAAUGACUCAUCAAAGAUCUGUCCGCGUCCAAAAACCAGACCAAGAUAGCCCCCACAUUAAGCUCCUACAGUGAUGGAAUCAAAACCUAUUUUGUAUCUCCUGUCACAGGGUAGGCCCAAAACAAUAUCCAAGUCUAUAUAACAACAAAAGAAUAUAAUAGAGAGAUCAAAUGCAACCAAUUAUGAACCCAGAACUGCCUUCCAGUUAAGCUUGAUUAAGAACCAAACAACGAUCAGGCAUCUGGAAAUCGAAGAGAAUAACAAUAAGCACGGGAAAGUCAAGAUGGAAGAUAAAUUGUAGCAGAAUUAAUACAAUACUAUACUCCCUCUGACACCCUCGAUAAACAUUAUAUCAGUGACAGCAUCAAAAGUUGAUGUCUCCAGUAACUAGACCAAGAUUAGCCCCACCAUAAGCUGCUUCUUUCACAACUUAAUUUUUAACUCCUGUCACAAGGUGAGGCAGAAAACAAUAUCCACGUCUACGUAACAAAUAAAAGAUUGUUGAAACUGACAAAAGAUAACCAAGCAUACCAGAAGUGCCUUCCAGUUAAGAACCACACAACAAUCAGACAUCUGGAAAUUGAAGAGUAUAACUAUUAGCACGGGAAACUCUAGGUAGAAGAGAAAAUGUAGGUAGAAAAAAAAUACUAUUAGUACUCCCUUUACCACCCACUAUUAACACUAUAUCAAUGACAGCAUGAAGGAUUUGUCAGUGUCCAAAAACCAGACCAAGACAGCCCCCACCUUAAGCUCCUACUUGAUAGAAUCAGAACCUAUUUUGUAUCUCCUAUCACAGGGUGAGGCUGAAACCAACAUCCGAGUCUAAAUAACAACAAAAGAACUACAAUAGAGAGAGCAAAGGUAACCAACUAUCAAACCCGAACUGCCGUCCAGUUAAGCUUGAUUAAGAACCACACAACGAUCGGGCAUCUGGAAAUGAAGAGAAUAACGAUAAGCACCGGAAGGUCUAGAUGGAAGAUAAAUUGUAUAGAAGAAAUACUAUACUAUACUCCCUCUGCCACCCUCGAUAAACACACUAUAUAGUGACCACGUCAAAGGAUUGACUUGUGUGCAAUAACUUGACUAAGAUUAGCCCUACCUUAAGCUCCUACUUGAUAAAAUUAAAACUUAAUUUUUAUCUCAUGUCAUAGGGUGGGGCAGAAAACAAUAUCCACGUCUAUGUAGCAAACAAAAUUGUUGAACUGACAAAAGAUAACCAAACAUCAAACAGAAGUGUCUCCAGUUAAGAACCACCCCACGAUCAGACAUCUGGAAAUUGAAGAGUAUAUCUAUAAGCACGGGAAACUCGAGGUAGAAGAGAAAAUGUAGUAGAAUAAAAAUACUAUUAUGUACUCCCUUUGCCACCCUCGAUUAACACAAUAUCAAUGACUACAUCAAAGAUCUGUCGCGUCCAAAAACCAGACCAAGAUAGCCCCCACAUUAAGCUCCUACAGUGAUGGAAUCAAAACCUAUUUUGUAUCUCCUGUCACAGGGUAGGCUCAAAACAAUAUCCAAGUCUAUAUAACAACAAAAGAAAUAUAAUAGAGAGAUCAAAUGCAACCAAUUAUGAACCCAGAACUGCCUUCCAGUUAAGCUUGAUUAAGAACCAAACAACGAUCAGGCAUCUGGAAAUCGAAGAGAAUAACAAUAAGCACGGGAAAGUCAAGAUGGAAGAUAAAUUGUAGCAGAAUUAAUACAAUACUAUACUCCCUCUGACACCCUCGAUAAACAUUAUAUCAGUGACAGCAUCAAAAGUUGAUAGUCUCCAUAACUAGACCAAGAUUAGCCCCACCAUAAGUGCUUCUUUCACAACUUAAUUUUUAACCCCUGUCACAAGGUGAGGCAGAAAACAAUAUCCACGUCUACGUAACAAAUAAAAGAUUGUUGAAACUGACAAAAGAUAACCAAGCAUACCAGAAGUGCCUUCCAGUUAAGAACCACACAACAUCAGACAUCUGGAAAUUGAAGAGUAUAUCUAUAGCACGGGAAAUUCUAGGUAGAAGAGAAAAUGUAGUAGAAAAAAAAUACUAUUAUGUACUCCCUUUCCACCCCGAUUAAACAUAUCAAUGACCAUAAGAUUGUCGGUCCAAAAACCAGACCAAGACAGCCCCCACCUUAAGCUCCUACUUUGAUAGAAUCAGAACCUAUUUUGUAUCUCCUAUCACAGGGUGAGGCUGAAACCAACAUCGAGUCUAAAUAACAACAAAAGAACUACAAUAGAGAAAGCAAAGGUAACCAACUAUCAAACCCGAACUGCCGUCCAGUUAAGCUUGAUUAAGAACCACACAACGAUCGGGCAUCUGGAAAUGGAAGAGAAUAACGAUAAGCACCGGAAGGUCUAGAUGGAAGAUAAAUUGUAUUAGAAGAAAUACUAUCUAUACUCCCUCUGCCACCCUCGAUAAACACACUAUAUCAGUGACCACGUCAAAGGAUUGACUUGUGUGCAAUAACUUGACUAAGAUUAGCCCUACUUAAGCUCCUACUUUGAUAAAAUUAAAACUUAAUUUUUAUCUCAUGUCAUAGGGUGGGGCAGAAAACAAUAUCCACGUCUAUGUACAAACAAAAUUGUUGAAAUGACAAAAGAUAACCAAACAUCAAACCAGAAGUGUCUCCAGUUAAGAACCACCCAGAUCAGACAUACUGGAAAUUGAAGGUAUAUCUAUAAGACACGGAAAUUGGUAGAAGAGAAAAUUAAGUAGAAUAAAAACUAUUAUGUACUCCCUUUGCCACCCUCGAUUAACACAAUAUCAAUGACUCAUCAAAGAUCUGUCCGCGUACCAAAAACCAGACCAAGAU